UAAGGUCCCAAAGUCAUGGUUAAGUGGGAAACGAUGUGGGAAGGCCCAGACAGCCAGGAUGUUGGCUUAGAAGCAGCCAUCAUUUAAAGAAAGCGUAAUAGCUCACUGGUCGAGUCGGCCUGCGCGGAAGAUGUAACGGGGCUAAACCAUGCACCGAAGCUGCGGCAGCGACGCUUAUGCGUUGUUGGGUAGGGGAGCGUUCUGUAAGCCUGUGAAGGUGUGCUGUGAGGUAUGCUGGAGGUAUCAGAAGUGCGAAUGCUGACAUAAGUAACGAUAAAGCGGGUGAAAAGCCCGCUCGCCGGAAGACCAAGGGUUCCUGUCCAACGUUAAUCGGGGCAGGGUGAGUCGACCCCUAAGGCGAGGCCGAAAGGCGUAGUCGAUGGGAAACAGGUUAAUAUUCCUGUACUUGGUGUUACUGCGAAGGGGGGACGGAGAAGGCUAUGUUGGCCGGGCGACGGUUGUCCCGGUUUAAGCGUGUAGGCUGGUUUUCCAGGCAAAUCCGGAAAAUCAAGGCCGAGGCGUGAUGACGAGGCACUACGGUGCUGAAGCAACAAAUGCCCUGCUUCCAGGAAAAGCCUCUAAGCAUCAGGUAACAUCAAAUCGUACCCCAAACCGACACAGGUGGUCAGGUAGAGAAUACCAAGGCGCUUGAGAGAACUCGGGUGAAGGAACUAGGCAAAAUGGUGCCGUAACUUCGGGAGAAGGCACGCUGAUACGUAGGUGAAGCGACUUGCUCGUGGAGCUGAAAUCAGUCGAAGAUACCAGCUGGCUGCAACUGUUUAUUAAAAACACAGCACUGUGCAAACACGAAAGUGGACGUAUACGGUGUGACGCCUGCCCGGUGCCGGAAGGUUAAUUGAUGGGGUUAGCGCAAGCGAAGCUCUUGAUCGAAGCCCCGGUAAACGGCGGCCGUAACUAUAACGGUCCUAAGGUAGCGAAAUUCCUUGUCGGGUAAGUUCCGACCUGCACGAAUGGCGUAAUGAUGGCCAGGCUGUCUCCACCCGAGACUCAGUGAAAUUGAACUCGCUGUGAAGAUGCAGUGUACCCGCGGCAAGACGGAAAGACCCCGUGAACCUUUACUAUAGCUUGACACUGAACAUUGAGCCUUGAUGUGUAGGAUAGGUGGGAGGCUUUGAAGUGUGGACGCCAGUCUGCAUGGAGCCGACCUUGAAAUACCACCCUUUAAUGUUUGAUGUUCUAACGUGGACCCGUGAUCCGGGUUGCGGACAGUGUCUGGUGGGUAGUUUGACUGGGGCGGUCUCCUCCUAAAGAGUAACGGAGGAGCACGAAGGUUGGCUAAUCCUGGUCGGACAUCAGGAGGUUAGUGCAAUGGCAUAAGCCAGCUUGACUGCGAGCGUGACGGCGCGAGCAGGUGCGAAAGCAGGUCAUAGUGAUCCGGUGGUUCUGAAUGGAAGGGCCAUCGCUCAACGGAUAAAAGGUACUCCGGGGAUAACAGGCUGAUACCGCCCAAGAGUUCAUAUCGACGGCGGUGUUUGGCACCUCGAUGUCGGCUCAUCACAUCCUGGGGCUGAAGUAGGUCCCAAGGGUAUGGCUGUUCGCCAUUUAAAGUGGUACGCGAGCUGGGUUUAGAACGUCGUGAGACAGUUCGGUCCCUAUCUGCCGUGGGCGCUGGAGAACUGAGGGGGGCUGCUCCUAGUACGAGAGGACCGGAGUGGACGCAUCACUGGUGUUCGGGUUGUCAUGCCAAUGGCACUGCCCGGUAGCUAAAUGCGGAAGAGAUAAGUGCUGAAAGCAUCUAAGCACGAAACUUGCCCCGAGAUGAGUUCUCCCUGACCCUUUAAGGGUCCUGAAGGAACGUUGAAGACGACGACGUUGAUAGGCCGGGUGUGUAAGCGCAGCGAUGCGUUGAGCUAACCGGUACUAAUGAACCGUGAGGCUUAACCUUACAACGCCGAAG
rnacentral:rRNA from 1 species